rnacentral:rRNA from 1 species
UGGGGAAUAUUGCGCAAUGGGGGCAACCCUGACGCAGCAACGCCGCGUGAAGGAUGAAGGUCUUCGGAUUGUAAACUUUUGUCUUUGGUGAAGAUAGUGACGGUAGCCAAGGAGGAAGCCACGGCUAACUACGUGCCAGCAGCCGCGGUAAUACGUAGGUGGCAAGCGUUGUCCGGAUUUACUGGGUGUAAAGGGCGUGUAGACGGGUGAGCAAGUCAGAUGUGAAAUACCGCAGCUUAACUGCGGGGCUGCAUUUGAAACUGCUUAUCUUGAGUGCGGGAGAGGAAAGCGGAAUUCCUAGUGUAGCGGUGAAAUGCGUAGAUAUUAGGAGGAACACCAGUGGCGAAGGCGGCUUUCUGGACCGUAACUGACGUUGAGGCUCGAAAGCGUGGGGAGCAAACAGGAUUAGAUACC